CCUUGGGUUGUCUACACCAUGGCCUGGGCUCCUCUCCUGCUCACAUUUCUGGCUCACUGCACAGGGAUCACCUCUCAGAAUGUGGUGAUUCAAGAAUCGUCACUGUCCACGAAUCUUUGGGACACAGUUACACUCACCUGUGGCUCCAGCACUGGGGCUGUUACAAGCAAUAAUGCUGCCGGCUGGAUUCAACAGCAACCUGGCCAGAAACCAUGGGGUCUAAUGAGCAGUACCAAUAGGCAUCCAGAUGUCCCUGCCCGAUUCUCUGGCUCCCUGCUUGGAGGCAAGGCAGUCCUCACCAUCACUGGAACCAAGGAAGAGGACGAGGCUGAGUAUUUCUGUGUUCUGUGGUUCAGC